CAGAGGGAGGAGCCGUGUGGCGGUUCCACCGAGGGACCGCCCGGUCCCCUUUUCGAAGGACCCGCGGCUGCCUCUGUUUUCGAGGUUGCCACGCCUCGGUGCCGGUGCGAGUGUGAGGGCUCUCGGGGGAUCUCGACUGUAAGCCCUCUUGUGGGGGGACAAAAAAUACUCCAGCUGUGGAGGAAGCCAGGGAUAAGUAAACGACGCCACCAGGAGUCUUAUUUGACCUCGGCCUUAAGCACUGGCUCCUGAUAAGCUCGUGGUCCCUCAGUGAGCUUUGUUUACAGCGGAGGGAGUGAAAGGAGGCCUGAGUAAUUCCCGCUUCUUGGGAAUUACUGUGUAACACACAAUGAGAGUAGUUAUUUUACAAAAAUUAUUGUGUAAUUAUUGUCCAGCAGGGGGCAAUGAAGGUGGGUGAGGGACUGGAGCAUUUCUCUAAGGAGGAAAGGCUGAGGGGGCUGUGCCUGUGCAGCCUCGAGGAGACGCGACUGAGAGGGAGCCUCGCCAAUGUCUGUCAGUGCCUGAAGGGAGGUGUCAGAGGAUGGAGCUGGGCUCUGCUCACUGGUGCCAGGAAACAGGGCAAGAGGCGAUGGGCAGAAACCGAUGCACAGGAAGUUCUGCCUGAACAUGAGGAACAGCAACUUCACUGUGCAGGUGACCAAGCACUGGAACAGACUGUGCAGAGAGGCUGUGGAGUCUCACUCACCGGAGGUAUUCAGGAACCAUCUGGACACAAUCCUGUGCCAUGUACUCUGGGAUGACCCUGCUUUAGCAGAAAGGAGGCCUCAACAAACAUAAAUACAACAUGAAAUCUCUUCACAACUGGGUGAUAGGACUGAGAGAGGCUGACUGGAUACUCUACACAAAACUCUCUCCCACAGUACCACUGACUGUACGAAGAGUGGGCUGGCAGCCUGUAUUUUAAGAACAUUCUGCAGUACUUUGAUCCAUUCCUCUAAGAUGUUGGGGGAAUCUGCAGUCAGCCCGAGGACUCCCUGGACCACUUCUGCUUCGAGAAUCAGACUCAGAAGUCCGAGAGCUGGACCGAGAGCUGUCUUCUUCCUCAG